CCACCCUCCUGCCUCAGCCUCGCAAGUGUUGGAAUUACAAGGCAGCGCCUUGCUAGGUAGUCCAGACUGGCAUUGAACUCACUAUGUAACCAGGCUGGCCUUGAAUUCAUGGUGAUCCUCCUGCCUCAGCCUCCCGAAUGCUGGGAUUACAGAGAUGAAAACAGUGACACCAGCCUCACAGGGUUGUGAUGAGGUCGUAUCUGGCAUGCACUGGGGACAGCGUGGGUACAACAGCACACCAGAAAGCCUUUGCCAAGUGCGGGACCUGUGUGGUUUCGGCAUCCGAAGACACGCUCCAGCGGUCAGAGCAACGCCUCUUCCCUGGGCUGCAUUUAUGCAGCUGGGAAUCCAUCCUGCCGCGGGGUCUCCCAGGGCGAGAGCGGAGGGUGAGCAGCCGUCGAGGCCGUCCGGGAGUCGCAGCCAGGGAGCAGCCGGCUCUGGGGCUUCGCGGACCUCAGCGGUGGGGAUGGGGACGGAAGUCAGCCUCGAGGGAGGCCUGGCACUGCGGAAAUUGGCCCGUGCGGUACCUCGCUCCCUCGGAGCAGGGGGAUGAGCUUCGCCACCGACCAUGGGAGCAGCGAGGUCCCAGGUCGCCGUGGGACUGUCAGCCACCACGGGCCUUUCGGUGUGUUUCACACGGGCUGGGAGACCUGGGGAGCAGCUCUGAGCGCCCCAAACACCACAGUGAGUCUCUCUGCAUACUUUUUUUUCUGGCCUAUGACCACAGUUAUAAAAGCAUCACCAGCCCACAGACCAGUGGACCAGCGAGUCGCCUGCUCACCCACAGCGGGCGGGCUGGCCCACUGGGAAACGGAAGGGGCGGGGUUGACGCUCAGGGCGGAGCGCUGGCUCAAAGACCACGAGGCUUGUGUUCAAAGGUGGAGAAUAGCUCCAAGUGUUCCUUUAAAAUCAAGGGCUUCAGCACAGAAACUGCAUGUCUCAGUGACUAUGAGUAAAGUCAAA